CCUUUUUGGCUCUAAUCUCGUACCUUUUGCCCCAUAUUGCCUCCGGAUAAUUCCUACAGAUAAAAACACCAUGAAUUAGCAUAAAUCAAUACAUUGCACAUUCGAAAUCUUUGAAACACGAAUAAAAUGUGAGCUUAUAUAUAUAUAUCAUGUCUCAACUCGAAUGUUGAAGGAAUCUCCAAGACUGAAUUCAAUUGACAAAAGAAAGUUCGGCGAUAGCCAAGCCACCUGAUAGUUAUUAGAUUUAAACUGUAACUUUCAUACAUGAAUGCCUCACCAGGUUAAUGCUCAUUCUCUAGUUUUGUUUUACAAACACCACAGUGCCAAAGGCAGAACCUAAUCAGAACUAGUAACUAUAAUUGCAACAAACUUCAGCAGCAAGAUCAUCUAACUCAGAACUAAAUCGAACCAUAUUACCAAUUGUUAGAAGUUGAUAUGAGCCAUCCAACCUAUUGUUUUUUCCGUUGAAAGAGUUUUCACCAAACAAGUAUAGCAUAUUAUAUUCACUUAGUUACUAAAGUGAAUAUCUUUAUACAAGUUUUUCAAUACUUAUAAAACUUUAGAGUUUAUUUGGUGCGAAAUAUUGAUGUUGGUGAAAAUGCAAUUACAGUUAAAAUUAAAUUGAAGAAAAUAAAAUAUCUUAAGGCUGGGGCGCAGAUAUAUCGUGCUCUUUAAGAAGAUUCAAGCCCACUGCAGCAAAGUCUUCACUGGUCCAACAAUAAACUUCUUGACUUGUUCCCCCCAGGAUACAACAGCUCGAUCAUGUCGUAUGACUCGAACAAAUUCUGGACAAGAUGUUGGGUCCAAAGCUCCACCAAGAUAAACACCUUCCUUCAACAAAAGUAAAAACUCUUUUCUUCUUUUUCUUCACAACUUUAAUCUCACUUUAUUGAAACACUAUUAAUUAUUUUUCACAUACCACAUUAUGGAAGAAACACUCAUAUUUACAGGCGUAGAAAUUCUUCCUUGAAUUAAAUUGGAAGAAAGUGGGUUAGUAAGUUAUGAAAUCGUGGAGAACAUGAGAGAAGAGUUAUGGCCAUUUUCUACAUCAUGGAGUAGUGAGAGUUAUGGUCAUUUUCUAUAUGGAAUAGUGGGAACUAUGACAUAUUUUAUUUUAAUAUUAAAAUGCUAAAAUAUUAACAAUUAAUCUACUUGGAUAAUAAAAAAUUAAUUGAUAAAAUUUUGAUGAUCAUCUUUUCAUUUUAUUUUGGUAAUAGUUGUGAACUAUUACCAUUUAACAACCAAAUUAAUACAUAUCCUAAAGAGCACCUAGACACACUAACACCUUUUAGGAAUGGUGCAAUGUACUCAUAGACCUCUAAUCAAUUACUAAUUACAAAGAAUCUGUAGCAAAUAAUAGCAUCUUCUGGCUUUCCUAGAGUUCUUGUGUAUAACUAUUCUAUCUCUAAAUUCCUUUUGCAUCUGUGUCAUCACAAGCUAGUAUUUACAUUAAUUCCUUUGAACGUUUUUCCAUUACUGGCUUUCCAGGUGCGAUAGAUCAGGGCCCUCCAAAUUGCUGCAGCUAUUUCCUUUUUGAAUAACUUCCAGUGCUUUCUUUUAAUCUUUUCCAGCACGUGCUUACAGUCCCUCGUGGUAUUGUCAUAUCAGUCCAUUUC
rnacentral:lncRNA from 1 species